rnacentral:rRNA from 1 species
GACAGAGGGUGCAAACGUUGUUCGGAAUUACUGGGCGUAAAGCGCGUGUAGGCGGCAGCGUGUGUCGGGCGUGAAAUCCCAUGGCUCAACCAUGGAAGUGCACCCGAAACUGCGCAGCUAGAGUCCUGGAGAGGAAGGCGGAAUACUUGGUGUAGAGGUGAAAUUCGUAGAUAUCAAGUGGAACACCGGUGGCGAAGGCGGCCUUCUGGACAGUGACUGACGCUGAGACGCGAAAGCGUGGGGAGCAAACAGG